GAUCAACAUGUUUAAUGGUAAAGUUAACAUGCAUUGGAAAGCAGUAAAAACAGUUGCCAUGUUCAAUGACAAAGCACCAACAGCCAUCAACCUUAAGUUGCAUUAAUCAUAACAGAAAGUCGUGAAUAAAGAAUUGGUUAAAUUCUCAUCAUCACCAAAUGUGCAGGAAAUAGACCCUGACCUAUCACAAAGAGUAGCCACAGGACCAAACAAAUGUCAAGAUUUUUAUACUUCUGAAUGUAUUUUAGACAGAUUUAAAAUCCUCCUUCCAUCGCUGUACCUAAAUCUGUCUUUAUUUUCACUUUAACAAAGAUUUUCAUUGUUCUUCUUCAGAUAAACCUAAUUAAUCAGACUAAAUCCUUAAUAGUAUACUUUUCUAUUUUUUUUCUAAUUGCAAGCAAUGAGCUUUCAUGAAUCCUUUCUAUUUUGUUACAAUUGAAAAUGAGCAGGAAGUGAAAUUGUGGAAGCAGCUUUCUUGAGUUUGAAAAAACAGUUUAGUAAAGCUACCAUGAUGCAUGCAUCCAAUAAACCAUGCCCAAUGCAUUAAUGACUAACAUUCAAUGAAAAGAAGAUUAUGCAGAAAAUAU